rnacentral:rRNA from 1 species
GACGAACGCUGGCGGCGUGCUUAACACAUGCAAGUCGAACGAAGUGGCGAACGGGUGAGUAACGCGUAAUCAACCUGCCCUUCAGAGGGGGACAACAGUUGGAAACGACUGCUAAUACCGCAUACGGAAGGAGGGGAUUGCGUCUGAUUAGCUGGUUGGUGGGGUAACGGCCCACCAAGGCGAUGUUCAGUAGCCGGGUGUAGAGAGUGAAAGGCCAAUAUGGGACGGUGACACGGCCCAGACACCUACGGGAGGCAGCAGUGGGGAAUCUUCCGCAAUGGACGAAAGGCUGACGGAGCAACGCCGCGUGAGUGAUGACGGCCUUCGGGUUGUAAAGCUCUGUUAAUCGGGACGCGGUACCGGAAUAGAAAGCCACGGCUAACUACGUGCCAGCCGCCGCGGUAAUUC